rnacentral:rRNA from 1 species
UACGUAGGGUGCGAGCGUUGUCCGGAAUUAUUGGGCGUAAAGGGCUCGUAGGCGGUCUGUCGCGUCGGGAGUGAAAACUCAGGGCUUAACCCUGAACCUGCUCCCGAUACGGGCAGACUAGAGGUAUGCAGGGGAGAACGGAAUUCCUGGUGUAGCGGUGAAAUGCGCAGAUAUCAGGAGGAACACCGGUGGCGAAGGCGGGUCUCUGGGCCGAUAUUGACGCUGAGGAGCGAAAGCGUGGGGAGCGAAUAGG